rnacentral:rRNA from 1 species
GACAGAAGGUGCAAGCGUUACUCGGAAUUACUGGGCGUAAAGCGUCUGUAGGUGUCCUACCACGUUUGGUAUUAAAUUUCGGGGCUCAACCCCGAAUGCAUAUCGGAUACGAGUAGGAUCGAGUCACUCAGAGGCAUCUGGAAUGUCGUGUGUAGGGGUAAAAUCCGUAGAUACACGAUGGAACGCCAAAAGCGAAGGCAGGAUGCUAGGGGUGUACUGACACUCAGAGACGAAAGCGUGGGGAGCAAAGGGG